rnacentral:rRNA from 1 species
GGAAAAAGGGGGGGGCGGGCCUAACACAUGCAAGUCGAGCGGAAACGAGUUAACUGAACCUUCGGGGAACGUUAACGGCGUCGAGCGGCGGACGGGUGAGUAAUGCCUGGGAAAUUGCCCUGAUGUGGGGGAUAACCAUUGGAAACGAUGGCUAAUACCGCAUAAUAGCCCGGUUCUUCGGAAUGGGUCUCAAAGAGGGGGACCUUUUAGGCCUCUCGCGUCAGGAUACGCCCAGGUGGGAUUAGCUAGUUGGUGAGGUAAUGGCUCACCAAGGCGACGAUCCCUAGCUGGUCUGAGAGGAUGAUCAGCCACACUGGAACUGAGACACGGUCCAGACUCCUACGGGAGGCAGCAGUGGGGAAUAUUGCACAAUGGGCGCAAGCCUGAUGCAGCCAUGCCGCGUGUAUGAAGAAGGCCUUCGGGUUGUAAAGUACUUUCAGCAGUGAGGAAGGUGGGUAUGUUAAUAGCAUACACAUUUGACGUUAGCUGCAGAAGAAGCACCGGCUAACUCCGUGCCAGCAGCCGCGGUAAUACGGAGGGUGCGAGCGUUAAUCGGAAUUACUGGGCGUAAAGCGCAUGCAGGUGGUUUGUUAAGUCAGAUGUGAAAGCCCGGGGCUCAACCUCGGAAUUGCAUUUGAAACUGGCAAACUAGAGUACUGUAGAGGGGGGUAGAAUUUCAGGUGUAGCGGUGAAAUGCGUAGAGAUCUGAAGGAAUACCGGUGGCGAAGGCGGCCCCCUGGACAGAUACUGACACUCAGAUGCGAAAGCGUGGGGAGCAAACAGGAUUAGAUACCCUGGUAGUCCACGCCGUAAACGAUGUCUACUUGGAGGUUGUGGCCUUGAGCCGGGGCUUUCGGAGCUAACGCGUUUAAGUAGACCGCCUGGGGGAGUACGGUCCCAAAGAUUAAGAACUCAAAUUGAAAUUGACGGGGGGCCCCGCACAAACCGGUGGGAGCAUGGGGGUUUAAUUCCGAUGCAACCGCGAAAAAACCUUUACCUUACUCUUUGACAUCCUACCCGAAGGCCAAGCGGGAGACCCCAGGUUGU